rnacentral:misc_RNA from 1 species
ACUCCGUAGGUGAACCUGCGGAGGGAUCACUACAGAGUUCAUGCCCUACCGGGUAGAUCUCCCACCCUAUGUUAUUAUUACUUUGUUGCUUUGGCGGGCCGUUAGGCUCCGGCCCGACUACCGGCCCCGGCUGGUAAGCGCCCGCCAGAGGACCCAAAACCCUGAAUAUUAGUGUCGUCUGAGUACUAUAUAAUAGUUAAAACUUUCAACAACGGAUCUCUUGGUUCUGACAUCGAUGAAGAACGCAGC